rnacentral:tRNA from 1 species
UGGGGUGUAGCCAAGUGGUAAGGCAGUGGGCUUUGAAUCCAUCACUCGAAGGUUCGAAUCCUUCCGCCUCAG